rnacentral:rRNA from 1 species
UACGUAGGGUGCAAGCGUUGUCCGGAUUCAUUGGGUUUAAAGGGUGCGCAGGCGGGACAUUAAGUCAGGGGUGAAAGACGGUUGCUCAACAAUCGCAGUGCCUUUGAUACUGGUGUUCUUGGGUAACCUUGAGGUAGGCGGAAUGGGUGGUGUAGCGGUGAAAUGCAUAGAUACCACCCAGAACUCCGAUUGCGAAGGCAGACUACUGGAGGUCAACCGACGCUCAGGCACGAAAGCGUGGGGAUCAAACAGG